CAUACAAGGCGUUUUGCUAUUGAAUAUCUCUUUGCUUCAUUAGCUCCAUGCUCUUUAAGCCUUUUAUUCUUACUCCUCCAAACACAUGGUCUCUUCAUCUCUCUCGUGAGUAAAGGAAUACACUAUAAUCUUCCAAGGGUUGUACCUAAGGAUGAUUACAUUAAACCAACUUAAAGUUUCAUAUUUUUUUAUUUGCGAAUUUUAUUUAUCUCACCCAAUGGAGAAACAAGAUGUUGCCGGAGCUUCUUAGUCCAUCGCAGGUGCUUUGCCCAGCUUAAGAGCAGACUGCAACUUUGAAGGAGCAUAUAAAGCACUUCAUGAGAAUUUUCUGAGAAGCAGUACCUCGGAGCGGGUAUUCGUCUAUGAUUGUUAUCGGGAAAAAUGGAUGGAUGUUCCAGAAUCGUUGGCUGAGCUCCUUCAAAACCGAUACCCCGGCGAAAAAUGGCUUAGUUCAUAUUGAUUUUGGGGAUACUAGGACGGACUGCACCGUUCGACUUCCGUGGCAUGCCGAAAAAAUGUCUUGCUUAAUAUAGAUUUAGGGGAUAGUAGGACUGUAGUGUUCGACUUCCCUCGCAUGCGAAAUGCUUCUUUCCAGGCCCUUUGCCAAUGGAGACGAAUAUUAAUGAACCCCCUAGAGAGGAUGCAUGAUAUUGGGGGAUCACCUUCCAGCUCGGGAGAGCAAUCUACAAAAUUAAAGGAUCUGAAGAGAUGUUUGGGGUGUCGUAGUAUGGCUUAUAUGUUUGAAUAAACGCUAGGGGCCGCGAAUGGUUCUCUAUAUGAGAGUUAGUUUCCAAUGUUGUUUACUUUCUUUGUGUUGUUUCUGAAGAUGUCGUCGGCUCACACAACCUUGUAAAAAGGUACGUGGGAUGUUGAAAUGGGCUGUAAUAAAUGUGACAAAUAUGACACGGUUUAGAUUAAUAAAAAAAGUUUGGACAUGCAUUGUUUUCUCGUGAGAGCAGAAAUGAGAGUGGAAUUGUCCAAUAGAUCACCUUUUUUAUAUCCUUUCCCGUGCUCUAAUUGUCCUAAUGGUAUUCUUUCACUUCCUCUUUUCUUCUUUCUUCGUCUAUUCCAUUUUUGUAUAAAGAAAGGACCAAGGAGCGG